GAAGAUUUCUGUAUUGAAGGUUUUCCCAUCAAGUGGACAUAGACUCCGUAGUUUCUACAUUCAUCUACAGAUGUUGGGUCCUUCUCUAUUCAAAGCACUGUGGUACCUAAUGUAAAGUGAGAGGAGGAAACAGGAGCUGAGAGAGUGAGGGGCCCUUGAAAUGUAGGAGCAUACAAGGCCUUAUAGACCCCUGCUGCCGUGGAGCUCCCGUUUUAAUGGUGGUCAGACAAACAACACGCAAAGAGACUUCAUAAUCUACAUGCACGUGACUGAGUGUGUGUCUAUCAGGGGUGUCUGGCAGUCUUGCUCCAUGGAACCUGAUAAAGCGAGAGGCUUCCAUCCAGAACAUCCUGCAUCUCGUGGUCCAGGUAAGAGAGAUCGUCGUGGAGCUUUGUCAUGGCUCUUAAUGCUCCUGCUUUCAGGAGCACAUGCCACUUUGACACACGCAUUGGCCAAAGUAAGACACACAUCCGCGCCUGAAGUCAGUGAGGCAAGAGAAUCUAAUUUUUCCCCAAGACAGCAGCAGAUAUUUUGAGCAAUAAUAGCUUGUACCUGAUGAGGAAGUCGAGGC